rnacentral:antisense_RNA from 1 species
CUUCAUGGAUCCCAGCCACAGCGGCCGGUUCGUGGGCCGCUGUUGUCCGUACGUGGCGAGCAGGGCCUGCGCCUC